rnacentral:rRNA from 1 species
AUUGAACGCUGGCGGCAGGCCUAACACAUGCAAGUCGAGCGAGCGGCGGACGGGUGAGUAAUGUCCGGGAAACUGCCUGAUGGAGGGGGAUAACUACUGGAAACGGUAGCUAAUACCGCAUACCAUCAGAUUUGCCCAGAUGGGAUUAGCUAGUAGGUGGGGUAACGGCUCACCUAGGCGACGAUCCCUAGCUGGUCUGCGAGGGUGACCAGCCACACUGGAACUGAGACACGGUCCAGACUCCUACGGGAGGCAGCAGUAGGGAAUAUUCCGCAAUGGACGCAAGCCUGCUUCAGCAAUGCCGCGUGUGUGAAGAAGGCCUUCUGGUUGUAAAGCACUUUCGUCGGAGAAGCGUUACCCGCUGAGGAAGCACCGGCUAACUCCGUGCCAGCCGCCGCGGUAAUAC